AUUGAACGCUGGCGGCAGGCCUAACACAUGCAAGUCGAACGAGUGGCGGACGGGUGAGUAAUGCCUGGGAAACUGCCUGAUGGAGGGGGAUAACUACGGGAAACGGUAGCUAAUACCGCAUACCAUCAGAUGGGCCCAGAUGGGAUUAGCUAGUUGGUGGGGUAACGGCUAACCAAGGCGAAGAUCCCUAGCUGGUCUGAGAGGAUGACCAGCCACACCUGAACUGAGACACGGUCCAGACUCCUACGGGAGGCAGCAGUGGGGAAUAUUGCGCAAGGGGCGCAAGCCUGAUGCAGCCAUGCCGCGUGUAUGAAGAAGGCCUUCGGGUUGUAAAGUACUUUCAGCGAGGAGGCGUUACCCGCAGAAGAAGCACCGGCUAACUCCGUGCCAGCCGCCGCGGUAAUAC
rnacentral:rRNA from 1 species